AGCAAAUUGUAGACCUAUUUACAAAGUCAUUACCUGUUCCUUUGUUCCAUCAAUUCACUACCAAGUUGGAUCUGAUUGAUCUUCAUCAAGCUUCAACUUGAAGGGGUGAUGUAGAAUUGUUAUGCUGAGUCAGCUAUUGUUAAAAUUAGUUAGAUGAGCUGGCAAAUAAUUUCGGUUCUAGAUGAACUGGCAGGUAGCUUUAGUACUUUGUUUUGUAUAUAAAGGUGCUAGGAGAGCUCUAU
rnacentral:lncRNA from 1 species